rnacentral:rRNA from 1 species
UACGUAGGGUGCAAGCGUUGUCCGGAAUUAUUGGGCGUAAAGAGCUCGUAGGCGGUUUGUCGCGUCGGGAGUGAAAACACUGGGCUUAACUCAGUGCUUGCUUCCGAUACGGGCAGACUAGAGGUAUUCAGGGGAGAACGGAAUUCCUGGUGUAGCGGUGAAAUGCGCAGAUAUCAGGAGGAACACCGGUGGCGAAGGCGGUUCUCUGGGAAUGUCCUGACGCUGAGGAGCGAAAGUGUGGGGAGCGAACAGG